rnacentral:tRNA from 1 species
GGGGAUAUGGCGAAAUUGGUAGACGCUACGGACUUGGAAAAUCCCUCGACUUUUAAAAUCGUGAGGGUUCAAGUCCCUCUAUCCCCC